rnacentral:rRNA from 1 species
AGAGUUUCAUCGUGGCUCAGAAUGAACGCUGGCGGCGUGCUUAACACAUGCAAGUCGAACGAGAAAGGAUUCUUCGGAAUCUGAGUAGAGUGGCGCACGGGUGAGUAAUACGUAGAUAAUCUACCUUUGAAUUUGGGAUAACAUCGCGAAAGUGGUGCUAAUACCGGAAUAUUGAUAAGACUUCGGUUAUGUAAAUCAAAGAUGGCCAAUUCUUGAAAGCUAUUGUUUGAAGAUGAGUCUACGCACCAUUAGCUUGUUGGUGGGGUAAAAGCCUACCAAGGCGACGAUGGUUAGCUGGUCUGAGAGGAUGAUCAGCCACACUGGAACUGACACACGGUCCAGACUCCUACGGGAGGCAGCAGUGAGGAAUUUUGCGCAAUGGGGGAAACCCUGACGCAGCAACGCCGCGUGAGUGAUGAAGGCUCUUGGGUCGUAAAACUCUGUCAGUAGGGAAGAAAUUACAUAUGGUUAAUACCCAUGUGUAUUGACGGUACCUACAAAGGAAGCACCGGCUAACUCCGUGCCAGCAGCCGCGGUAAUACGGGGGGUGCAAGCGUUAUUCGGAAUUAUUGGGCGUAAAGCGAGUGUAGGCGGUUUGUUAAGUCAGAUGUGAAAGCCCGGGGCUCAACCCCGGAAGUGCAUUUGAAACUGGCAGACUUGAGUAUGGGAGAGGAAAGUGGAAUUCCUGGUGUAGAGGUGAAAUUCGUAGAUAUCAGGAGGAACACCAGUGGCGAAGGCGACUUUCUGGACCAAUACUGACGCUCAGACUCGAAGGCGUGGGGAGCAAACAGGAUUAGAUACCACGGUAGUCCACGCAGUAAACGUUGUACACUAAGUGUCACGGGUAUUGACCCCUGUGGUGCUGCAGCUAACGCAUUACGUGUACCGCCUGGGGAGUACGAUCGCAAGACUAAAACUCAAAGAAAUUGACGGGGACCCGCACAAGCGGUGGAGUAUGUGGCUUAAUUCGAUGCAACGCGAAGAACCUUACCUGGAUUUGACAUCCUGGGAAUCUUUUCGAAAGAUUUGAGUGCCCUUCGGGGAACCCAGUGACAGGUGCUGCAUGCCUGGCGUCAGCUCGUGUCGUGAGCUGUUGGGUUAAGUCUCGCAACGAGCGCAACCCCUUUCCUUAGUUGCCAUCAUUAAGUUGGGCACUCUAGCAAGACUGCCGUAUUUAAAUCGGAGGAAGGUGGGGACGACGUCAAGUCAGUAUGGCCCUUAUACCCAGGGCUACACACGUGCUACAAUGGGUGGUACAAAGAGAAGCGAACUCGCGAGAGUAAGCGAAUCUCAAAAAGCCAUCCUCAGUUCGGAUUGAAGUCUGCAACUCGACUUCAUGAAGUUGGAAUCGCUAGUAAUCGCGGAUCAGCAUGCCGCGGUGAAUACGUUCCCGGGCCUUGUACACACCGCCCGUCACACCCGGAAAAUUGAUUGCACCAGAAGUCGUUGAGCUAACCGCUAUUUAUAGUGGGGGCAGAUGCCUACGGUGUGGUUAGUAAUCGGGGUGAAGUCGUAACAAGGUAGCCG